rnacentral:rRNA from 1 species
GAUGAACGCUGGCGGCGUGCUUAACACAUGCAAGUCGAGCGAAGCACUUAAGAAUGAUUCUUCGGAUGAGCUCUUUUGUGACUGAGCGGCGGACGGGUGAGUAACGCGUGGGUAACCUGCCUCAUACAGGGGGAUAACAGUUAGAAAUGACUGCUAAUACCGCAUAAGCGCACAGUGCCGCAUGGCACCGUGUGAAAAACGCCGGCGGUAUGGGAUGGACCCGCGUUGGAUUAGGCAGUUGGCGGGGGAACGGCCCACCAAACCGACGAUCCAUAGCCGGCCUGAGAGGGUGGACGGCCACAUUGGGACUGAGACACGGCCCAAACUCCUACGGGAGGCAGCAGUGGGGAAUAUUGCACAAUGGGGGAAACCCUGAUGCAGCGACGCCGCGUGAGUGAAGAAGUAAUUCGUUAUGUAAAGCUCUAUCAGCAGGGAAGAAAAUGACGGUACCUGACUAAGAAGCCCCGGCUAACUACGUGCCAGCAGCCGCCGUAA